CUGGUUGAUCCUGCCAGUAGUCAUAUGCUUGUCUCAAAGAUUAAGCCAUGCAUGUCUCGGUAUAAUUCUUGUACGGUGAAACUGCGAAUGGCUCAUUACAUCAGUUACAAUCUACACCCUGAUUAUUAUACGGAUACCUAGGGUAAUUCUCUUGCUAACACGUGCCUGAAGUCCUCUGGACGUCAUUGCUAGCUUGAGAUCUACUCACAAGUUCACUUGUGACCCUGGUGAUUCAUAGCAAUUUGAAUUUAUCGCUCUUCGCGAAGCAGGGUUCGAGUUUCUGACCUAUCAUGUUUGACGGUUGUGUAUUGGACCACCGUGCAGUUGACGGGUAACAGAGAAUUAGGGUUUGAUUCUGGAGAGGGUGCCUGAGAAACGGCAACCACAUCUAAGGAAGGCAGCGGGCACGCAAAUUACCCAAUCCUGACACAGAGAGGUAGUGACAAGAAAUAACAAUGUGGAGCAAUCUUUGUUCUGCAUUUGGGAUGAGUCGUAGUUAAAUCUCACGACGAUUAUCGAUUGGAGGGCAAGUCUGG
rnacentral:rRNA from 1 species